GUUUCUUCGGAAAUGGAUUAGCGGCGAACGGGUGAGGAACACGUGAAGAAUCUGCCCUCCACUUUGGGAUAACACAGGGUAAACCUGUGCUAAUACCGAAUAUUGAAACAUAAGUGGCAUCACUGAGUUUUGAAAGAAUUUCGGUGGAGGAUGACUUCGCGGCCUAUCAGCUAGUUGGUGAGGUAAUGGCUCACCAAGGCAACGACGGGUAGCCGGCCUGAGAGGGCGACCGGCCACACUGGGACUGAGACACGGCCCAGACUCCUACGGGAGGCAGCAGUGGGGAAUAUUGGGCAAUGGAGGAAACUCUGACCCAGCGACGCCGCGUGCGGGAUGAAGGCCUUCGGGUUGUAAACCGCUUUCAGUAGGGAAGAAGCGAAAGUGACGGUACCUACAAAAGAAGCACCGGCUAACUAUGUGCCAGCAGCCGCGGUAAUGCAUAGGGUGCAAGCGUUGUCCGGAAUUAUUGGGCGUAAAGAGCUCGUAGGUUGUUUGUUACGUCGGAUGUGAAAACCUGAGGCUCAACCUCAGGCCUGCAUUCGAUACGGGCAAACUAGAGUUUGGUAGGGGAGACUGGAAUUCCUGGUGUAGCGGUGGAAUGCGCAGAUAUCAGGAGGAACACCAAUGGCGAAGGCAGGUCUCUGGGCCAAUACUGACACUGAGGAGCGAAAGUCUGGGGAGCGAACAGGAUUAGAUA
rnacentral:rRNA from 1 species